CAAUAAUUACAAUAACCACCACGGUGAUUACUUUUUAACAAUGAGUUUAAGGAUUAACACUGAAAAUGCAAAAUAUGCGUGGUGUGCUGUGAAGCGUCAUAAGUCCUAUUGAGUAUUCAUCUACUGUAACUGUGUAAAGCCCUUUCGAUACAUGUAAUUGUAAAUUUGUAUUCUUACAUGCAGGGCUUGAAAUAACGUUCCCAAAGUUCCCGACCAUGGUGAUCGGCAGUCGCGACUUUCCCUGCUUUUUUCAGGUUGGAAACCGAAACUCUGCUUUUCUGCCGAUCAUAAGCAAUUCCUUGCCGAUCAUUGACCGGUGAUCGGUUGUUAUUUCAAGCUCUGUCUUAACAAUUUUGAAUUGAUACUGAUUUCAAAUGAUUAAAGCCAUGUAAUAGUUAUCCCAUGCAACUGUUAGGAAGGGCGAAAUUUUGAACGGAGGACGACAG